rnacentral:rRNA from 1 species
ACUUUUAACAAUGGAUCUCUUGGCUCUCAACUUCGAUGAAGAACACAGUGAAAUGUGAUAAGUAAUGUGAAUUGCAGAAUUCAGUGAAUCAUCGAAUUUUUGAACCCAUAUUGCCCCUUUUGGCUAUUCCAAAAGGCACCCCCUGUUGGGAGU